GGAGAUGAAAAACUCCUCUGUUUUAAUUGGACCCUCCCUUGAAAUUGCAACCAUAUUACUCAUUUUCUCACAGAAAUCACAUGGAUAGCCAGGCAGUUCACAGCCAGCUCCCAUUGUGUAUGGCUUAUUCACUGAACUGCCAAAGAAGGCUUCAGUCUUUGGGACAGGCAAACCUUCCUCUGUGACUUGCUUCAUUCUCAUGAAAAAGAGCUUGGGUGAAGGUUACUGCAUUAAUACAGAUCAGCAGCUCUAAGCGAGCUGGAAUUGGCAGACGGUGGUUUUAGAUUUUGGCAUAUCAAUCAUCAGCGGCCGCUCAACAAGACAGAAACCAGACUCUGGGAAAUGAAUACUGAGGAGACGAAAAUGUUGCUGGUUAGGGCAGAGGUGGGAAUAUCCUCAAGUAGAAAGAGGUAAUAAAGAGAUGCCUUUCAAAACUUUGGUUCUACCAUGCUUUUCAUCAAAUAUAGAAUCUGUGGUUUCAUAUAUUUUUUCCUCACAGAAUUGUUCAUGUUUUUUUUAUCUUUCUUACUGUACCGAACAAGAGGAGAAGAUGGAUAUAAUGCCAGCUGUGCUCAGAGCGCUUCAAAAAUGCUGCUCAUCCCAAGAGAAAAAGAAGCUAUUCUUUAUGUUAGAAAUUGGAAUGUCCAGGUGAUGGCUUUGCAGCACAAAGAUUUGCACUGGGGCAACCUGGUCAUGCAGAGAAUGGGGAGCACUUCAGCACCAGGUUGGACAGCAGGGCACCCAAAUCCUUCCAGGCCAGCUCCAGCACAGAGCCCGUCACAGCACCUGAGCGACACACACCCACCCACACUGCUCUCUCCUUUGAAGGAAGUCUUCUGUGACAGAAAGGGGCUGUUUACUUGGAUGCUUCUGCUGCACGUUGUUACAAUUUGCACGUCUUGCCACAUAUUUGUGAUGUCCCAAAUGACAGGUACACGUCUUACCAAGUUCCACCGGGGGCAGAGAUUCAUAGGCAAGGGAGCCCACAGCAGUAGAAGCAUCUGGUAGGAUGGAAAAAAUGCUGUCUUGUACUCUGUCAUGUGUAAUUAGAGCUGCCGGUUGUCAUCGCUGCUGGCAUUUGGUUAAGUAAGUUUCUCUGAUGAGAAACUAUCUGACAAAAGCCAAAGCCAACUAAAGUUAUGAGCAACAUAAUUACAGAGUAUCUUUUAUAGUCCUAUUAUUUAAGAGCUUCAUCUCGAGUCCUACUGAAGAUGUGAAGGUUUCAGCAAGUUGCAUAAAGUUAUGUUAAAAGCCAACUCAAAAUUAUUUGCUUUCAAAAUCAAGCACUGGGGGUGGCUGGUGAUGAGUUUUCCGCAGUCUAAUUAAGAAGGAUAAAUAUUUUAUGUUUUUAAUUGUGUCUGGCAACCUGUUAAAUUUCUCCCUUCCUGGAGCUCAACAGAGGGGGACUGUCCACGCUCGGGCAUUCUCUGAAGAUCUUCUUUUGCCAAAACUUUGCUUGUGAAGUGGAGUUUGCUGCCUCUCUGCUACUUCUCAGGGAGUGAUUCUGAAAUGGGGCCCAUCUUCAAGAGCCAUCCCAGGAGCUGCAGCAGGUGAGAGCUGCGUUUGCUGGCAGCAUGCUGCAGUCUUAUCUCAUUGGCUCAUUUUAAACCAGGCUUCUGGUUGCCCAAGGCAGAGCCAACCAAAGCCCAACCACAGCUGCCAGGCCAUGGGCAUCACUUCACCCAACCCGCACAGCUGCUGCCACCAGCACUUCAGCUUUGGCUUUGAAUGAUUUCUAUAUUCAAAUCCUUCCUUUGUAAUUUUCCAU
ensembl:lncRNA